rnacentral:rRNA from 1 species
AUGGACGGCGGCGGAGGCAUGGGGCCCGUCGGCGGCGGGGUGGGAGGCAUGGUGGGACCCGUCGGCGUCGGCGGCGGGGGCGGCGGGAGCGACGUGGAGCUCGUCAGCAAAACGCUGCAGUUCGAGCACAAGCUCUUCUACUUCGAUCUGAAGGAGAACCCGCGGGGGAGGUACCUCAAGAUCUCCGAGAAGACGUCCACCACGCGCUCCACCAUCAUCGUGCCCAUCGCCGGCGUCGCCUGGUUCCUCGACCUCUUCGACUAUUACAUCCGCACCGACGAGCGCGACGUCUUCAGCAAGGAGCUACGCCUCGACACUAAGGUGUUCUACUUCGAUAUUGGGGAGAACAAGAGAGGCCGCUACCUUAAGGUUUCGGAGGCAUCUGUCAAUAGAAACCGUAGCACGAUAAUUGUUCCGGCUGGUAGCUCUGGCGAAGAAGGUUGGGAAGCAUUUAGGAAUGUACUGUUAGAAAUCAAUGACGAAGCUUCCCGACUCUAUGUUCUUCCAAAUCAUCCAAGUCAGCAACACCUGGAACCUCCAGAGCGCCUUCCUGGCCUUUCUGACGAUGUUGGUGCUGGAUUUAUAGCUGGGCAUGGCAGCCAAUCUGCAUCUGUACCCGAGGUAGACGUUGAUGGGCCUCCUAUUGAAGAAUUUAGUGGCAUGGGGCUGUCUAAGGUGAUAAGGGCAGAUCAGAAAAGGUUUUUCUUUGACCUGGGCAGCAACAACAGGGGCCAUUAUUUGAGGAUUUCCGAGGUCGCUGGAGCUGAUCGUUCGUCGAUAAUCUUGCCACUUUCUGGUUUGAAGCAGUUCCAUGAGAUGGUGGGACACUUUGUAGAUAUAAUGAAGGACAGACUUGAAGGAAUGACGGGCGCGAACGUGCGCACUGUCGAGCCCAGCCAGAGAUGA